rnacentral:tRNA from 1 species
GGAUGGUUGGCCGAGAGGCUUAAGGCAUCAGUUUGCUAAAUUGACUUACGCUGGGCGGCGCCCCGUAACGCAGGUUCGAAUCCUGCACCAUCCGCCA